rnacentral:rRNA from 1 species
UCCGUAGGUGGAUAAUUAAGUCAGAGGUGAAAGUUUGCAGCUCAACUGUAAAAUUGCCUUUGAUACUGGUUAUCUUGAGUUAUUGUGAAGUAGUUAGAAUAUGUAGUGUAGCGGUGAAAUGCAUAGAUAUUACAUAGAAUACCAAUUGCGAAGGCAGAUUACUAACAAUAUACUGACACUGAUGGCCGAAAGCGUGGGUAGCGAACAGGAUUAGAUACCCUGGUAGUCC